rnacentral:rRNA from 1 species
CCCUUAGAUGUUCUGGGCCGCACGCGCGCUACACUGACGGAGUCAACGAGUUGUCCUGCAUCGGAAGGUGUGGGUAAUCUUUUGAAACUUCGUCGUGCUGGGGAUAGAUCUUUGCAAUUUUCGAUCUUAACGAGGAAUUCCUAGUAAGCGUGAUUCAUCAGAUCGCGUUGAUUACGUCCCUGCCCUUUGUACACACCGCCCGUCGCUACUACCGAUUGAAUGGUUUAGUGAGGCCUCGGGACUGGCGCGCUCGAGUAGCAAUACACCUGCGCGCCGGGAACUUGGUCAAACUUGAUCAUUUAGAGGAAGUAAAANUCGUAACA